UCGUCUCGGACCUGGCUGGCGCGCUGCGUACUCGCAGGCAGGGUGCACUUUCCCCGGCUAGCGGAAGGCCACGACCGGUUCGGUGGCGGUCAGGAGCCCGGAGCGGGAGGUAGCCGUGAUCGGUUCACGCCGAUUGCGGAACGUACAGCCCUCCGAGGUGGACUCGCCGCUGGACCGAGGAUGCCGCGGUGGCCUCACGCCGCGGGCCGUCCGGGAGCGUUCGACUUUGGCCACGCUGCUCGCAGCCGGCCGAGACCGCGCUUCUGGUACGGGCUCGCGAACGGGGGCCGCCUAGGGUCAGUGGCGAAUCGGUCGGCAACCCACCAGACCCGUCUUGAAACACGGACCAAGGAGUCUAGCAUGUGCGCGAGUCACGGGGUCUCUCGAAACCCAAGGGCGCAAUGAAAGUGAA
rnacentral:rRNA from 1 species